rnacentral:tRNA from 1 species
GAGCGCUUAGCUCAGCUGGCUAGAGCAUUUCGUUUACACCGAAAGGGUCGGGGGUUCGAAUCCCUCAGCGCUCACCA